AAAAGGAGUUGCUAAGUUAUACUCCUUCUAAAGCUAAGAACAUGCCGUUCUCUCGGUAGCUUGGGAUUCUGUAACAGUUGACCUAUUGUUUUUAUUUCCCUUGUGGUAGAAUUUUUUUUUUAAAUGUUUGGGUGCGUGGAAAUUUUGCGAUUUACUCAUUCUUCUUGAUGCGGGCUUUGAACUAGUAUUUGCCAAGAAAAAAAAAAAGAUGUGUGAACUUAAAGGAUACCAAAAUAUGUGGAAUAAGAAAUGUUUGGUAUUCAGUAGAAUAAUUUGCCAUCUGUUUGGUCUCCUCGUGUAAACAUGUGUGCCAAUAUACACAGGUGUGCAAAUGUGUUGUGAAAACUUGGAUAUUAUUUUCUGUAAAAACGUUAAAGAUCGAAAUAAAAUAUUUGUGGAAAAAAGCUUGUAAGGAAGAGCCUAUUAUAUUAUAUGUCCCAUUAUUCAUUAUGGACAGGGAUUAACAUCACAUUGCCUUCUCGUAAGUAAUUCCAUCCCAUGUUCCCUUCCAUCUUAAUAUCUGUUAUGAAGUCUACUUGGCCAACUCAACGGUUCCUGCAUUGGAAGCUUACUGGGGUUGGCCCUUUAUAUUAAGUAUAAUGAAGCUAGCAGGCUACACCCUCUUAUUUGUGUCCAAACUACCAGGCUAGUUAACCCACCGCAGAAGACGUCCACUCGUUAUUGUCCAAGAA